rnacentral:rRNA from 1 species
UACGGGGGGAGCAAGCGUUGUUCGGAUUUACUGGGCGUAAAGGGCGCGUAGGCGGCCACCGCAAGUCAGUUGUGAAAUCUCUGGGCUUAACCCAGAACGGUCAGCUGAUACUGCGGGGCUAGAGUGCAGAAGGGGCAACUGGAAUUCUCGGUGUAGCGGUGAAAUGCGUAGAGAUCCGGAGGAACACCAGUGGCGAAGGCGACACGCUGGGCCGUACCUGACACUGAACCGCGACAGCAUGGGGAGCAAACGGG